rnacentral:lncRNA from 1 species
UGAACAAUGGCACAAAGUCUACAUUCAAAGAAAAAAAUAGCAAAGUAUAAAAUCCUGGAACUGACAGAAUCUGACUCUGUAAGGACUUGGAUCAGGCAUGAGAGAAACAAGAAAAAGAGAGCAGGAGUGGCAUUUAUUGCCUGGAGAGGACAUUAACUAAGGACCGGAAUGACCCCCAAAAAUCCAUAUUUGGUGCAUGACCAAACCAUGGAGUUUGCAGAAGUUUAAUCUAAAACCACUUGAUAUUAUUUCUACAUUCUCUGUGAAACCUAACAGCCUGAAUAUGUGAAUAUCUGUUAGUUAAUUUUCAGUGGGGGAGGCUAUAACAUUUGAAGAAUGCCCCACAUGCAUAAACAACUAAAUUUAAGCCUGUUAAGCCUUUUCACCCCUUAUCAACCUUGACUGGAUAUCGAGGGUGGGGGAAAAUGUCUUUUCUCAUGCUAAGUAGCCUCCAUUUUACAGAACAAAAGCAGUAAGCAUCAUGAACUCUUCUGUAGUAAGAAAACACUGUGAGACUUCUAAGAUGUAACUGGGAAUUGUAUUCAUUUUGAAGUGGAUUUUGCUUUUUGCAUCCAUAGCAGUCAUGCAGUAAUGAAAAUGAAUAAUCAGUUCUGGCUGUAAAACCAGAUGCUAAAAUGUUUUGCAAGCAAAUUGUUUGUUUAUCAAGUAAGAUAAAAGGUCCUUAGACUCAUUUUGUACAUAUAAACAGAGCCUAAUAUUAAUAUACUAACAUAGCCUAAACCUUGUGAUAACAGCCAUUUGGACAUGUGGAAGAUAUGAGGCUUGCUGAUACGGAUCUGGCCCAAAAGUUCACACUGAAGAAACCAGCCUCACUGAGUUGUCUGAUUUUAAGAGUCAAAACUUUUUGUUUUUAAUAAUCUUGUCAAAAUGUACAUUUAAGAUUUACUCCAGCAAUGCUGUGAUGGGUGAGGAAAGCUUAUCACCUUAGUAGUUCAUUGAUCCAUUCUAUAGGAAUUCUUAUUAAACAAAUAUUUGCAAGAUUAGGAUCUUAAAUUUGACACUUUCAUAUGAGGAUGAUAGCAGUGGCCAGUUUUUUAAGAAACGAGUGUUUACUGAGGUGAGCCGAUGUAAGACAUCCUACAUCUGGAAUCUCAGUGUUUUUUUAUUUUAUUUUUUCAGUUCUGUCUCUUCUAUU